UGACGAGCGGCGGACGGGUGAGUAAUGCAUAGGAAACUGCCCAGUAGUGGGGGAUAGCCCGGGGAAACCCGGAUUAAUACCGCGUACGCCCUUCGGGGGAAAGCAGGGGAUCUUCGGACCUUGCGCUAUUGGAUGUGCCUAUGUCGGAUUAGCUAGUUGGUGGGGUAAAGGCCUACCAAGGCGACGAUCCGUAGCUGGUCUGAGAGGAUGAUCAGCCACAUCGGGACUGAGACACGGCCCGAACUCCUACGGGAGGCAGCAGUGGGGAAUAUUGGACAAUGGGGGCAACCCUGAUCCAGCCAUGCCGCGUGUGUGAAGAAGGCUUUCGGGUUGUAAAGCACUUUCAGUGAGGAGGAAAACUCUGCGACUAAUACUCGUAGGGCUUGACGUUACUCACAGAAGAAGCACCGGCUAACUCCGUGCCAGCAGCCGCGGUAAUACGGAGGGUGCAAGCGUUAAUCGGAAUUACUGGGCGUAAAGCGCGCGUAGGUGGUUUGAUAAGCGAGAUGUGAAAGCCCCGGGCUUAACCUGGGAACGGCAUUUCGAACUGUCAGGCUAGAGUAUGGUAGAGGGUAGUGGAAUUUCCUGUGUAGCGGUGAAAUGCGUAGAUAUAGGAAGGAACACCAGUGGCGAAGGCGGCUACCUGGACCAA
rnacentral:rRNA from 1 species